AUUGAACGCUGGCGGCAGGCCUAACACAUGCAAGUCGAACGAGUGGCGGACGGGUGAGUAAUGUCUGUGAAACUGCCUGAUGGAGGGGGAUAACUACUGGAAACGGUAGCUAAUACCGCAUACCAUCAGAUGUGCCCAGAUGGGAGUAGCUAGUGGGUGGGGUAAAGGCCUACCAAGGCGACGAUCCGUAACUGGUCUGAGAGGAGGAUCGGUAAAACUGGAACUGGGACACGGCCCAGACUCCUCCGGGAGGCAGCAGUGGGGAAUAUUGGAAAAUGGGGGAAAGCCGGAUCCAGCCAGGCCGGGUGUGUGAAGAAGGUUUUCGGAUGGUAAAGCCCUUUAAGUUGGGAGGCGUUACCAACAGAAUAAGCACCGGCUAACUUCGUGCCAGCAGCCGCGGUAAUUC
rnacentral:rRNA from 1 species